rnacentral:rRNA from 1 species
GAUGAACGCUGACAGCAUGCUUAACACAUGCAAGUCAACUUGAACUUCGGUUUGGGUGGCGGACGGGUGAGUAACGCGUAAAGAACUUGCCUCACAGAUAGGGACAACAUUUGGAAACGAAUGCUAAUACCUGAUAUUAUGAUUAUAUGGCAUCGUAUAAUUAUGAAAGCUAUAUGCGCUGUGAGAGAGCUUUGCGUCCCAUUAGCUAGUUGGAGAGGUAACGGCUCACCAAGGCGAUGAUGGGUAGCCGGCCUGAGAGGGUGAUCGGCCACAAGGGGACUGAGACACGGCCCUUACUCAUACGGGAGGCAGCAGUGGGGAAUAUUGGACAAUGGACCAAGAGUCUGAUCCAGCAAUUCUGUGUGCACGAUGAAGUUUUUCGGAAUGUAAAGUGCUUUCAGUUGGGAAGAAAAAAAUGACGGUACCAACAGAAGAAGUGACGGCUAAAUACGUG